rnacentral:rRNA from 1 species
CCUACGGGAGGCAGCAGUAGGGAAUAUUGCUCAAUGGGGGAAACCCUGAAGCAGCAACGCCGCGUGGAGGAUGAAGGUUUUCGGAUUGUAAACUCCUUUUGUUAGAGAAGAUAAUGACGGUAUCUAACGAAUAAGCACCGGCUAACUCCGUGCCAACAGCCGCGGUAAUACGGAGGGUGCAAGCGUUACUCGGAAUCACUGGGCGUAAAGAGCGCGUAGGCGGGAUAGCAAGUCAGAUGUGAAAUCCUAUGGCUUAACCAUAGAACUGCAUUUGAAACUGGUAUUCUAGAGUAUGGUAGAGGUAGGUGGAAUUCUAGGUGUAGCGGUGAAAUGCGUAGAGAUCAAGAGGAAUACUCAUUGCGAAGGCGACCUGCUAGAACAUAACUGAUGCUGAGGCGCGAAAGCGUGGGGAGCAAACAGGAUUAGAUACCCCGGUAGUC